CCUAGGGAAAGGGGAAGGGGAGAAGAAAGAUGAGUUGGCAUGUGGGCUAUUGAUUAUUAAUUACUCACAGCACUUCUGACAGCAGGGCUGGGGUGUCUCUUCCGACCCUGCUCCUCCAGCUCGGUGACACCAACUGGGUGUCCAACAAUUCAACUCAAUUCUGACACCGAAGACCCAGAGCUAGUGCAGACCCCACAGGUUAAGGGCUCGGCCUCCCCAAACUGCCCCAACUUUAGACAUCAAACACCCAGUCCCCGGACACCCAAACCUCUGACUGAGCAGCUAUUAAAUGGGGAUUCCCACGCCCCUUUCCUCAGGGUCAGGAAUUUGCUAGAACGGCUCACAGAAACGGCUUGGGAUUCUGUCUCCCUCCCUCUCUGCCCCUCUCCCGCUUGUUCUCUCUCUCUAUGGAGAGCUUUAUUAUAAAGGAUACAACUCAAGAACAGCCAAGUAGAGAGGUACAUAGGACACAGGAUGGGGGGUGUAUGUGCGGAACUUCCACGGGCCCCUCAGGGGGCCCACUCUCCCAGUGCGUCGAUGUUUUCACCAACUAGGAAGCUCUCCAACCUUUCUCAUUUAGGGGUGUUUGUGGGGGUUUCCUUACGUAGGCAUGACUGAUAAAUCUUUGGCCAUCUGGGAGACCCUGGCUCCCAGUCAUCUCAUUAGCCUACAGAGGACACUCAUUACUCUGGAGAUCCCAAGGGUUUUAGGAACCAGAUACCAAGACCAAAUAUUGAUUCUAUGUUCUAUCACAGCAUGUAAGAAUUGUCCUGUGAGUGUCCUUAGAGCAAGGACCCUUCUCUCCUCUGCUUGGGCAGAGUUAUGCCAAGGAAGGAUGCAUGCAGUUUGCACAUUACCUCUUACAGUCAACUAACCUAUAUCCUCAAACGUAUUUGUCUUUCUUUGUAGUUCCGUAUUACAUUUUUGUGAUGGCAAGUGUCUUAAUUUUGAUUUUAUCGUCAGAAGAAUGCCAGAUUUGUCAAUCUAGAAUCAAAAUAUCUUUUUUUUUUUAAGUAAUCUCCACACCCAAUGUGGUGCAUGAACUCACAACCCCCAGAUCAAGAGUCACCUGCUCCUACCUACUUAGCCAGCCAGGUGCCCCAAAGAAUCAAAAUAUCUUCAGUGUCUGUGUGAUCAAAGACUAUCCAGACCUUCAAAGACACACCUAACUUUAACGUACGGAAUCCUACCCAGAGGAGGGUGUUUACAGAGUGUCCACCCUUGACCAACUCAGGACUCCCACUCUUGCCCCCUCCACCGAUCCCAUGAAGCUCCCCAAACUGCAGCUGAAUCUCCCAAACAGCCUGAGAUGGAAAAAACGGAGACCCAGUGUCAAAUAAUGAGAAGAAGCCAGAGGAAACACCAGGUCCCCAUACUUCCAGCAGCUGGAGACGGUCUGUCAAAAGUGCCACUGAUUGGUGUCAUUCAGGAGAAAGCGCUGGGCACGCAGGGCUCCACCCACCAAAUCUGAAGAAUGAGACUCAGGGCAGGACAAACUGGGACUGGUUGAUUUAGAACUUGGACAAAAAAAUACUUGACUCUCUUCAAAAAUUCCUAAGAGUUGGGGGCACCUGGGUGGUUCAGUCAGCCAAGCAUCCGACUUCGGCACACGUCAUGAUCUCACAGUUUCUGGGUUUGAGCUCCACAUCCGGCUCUGUGCUGACAGCUCGGA